GUGACUUCUCUCGCUACUGAUCGAUGCUCUUCGGUGUGGAAGCGGAGUGAGUUCUCUCGCUGCUGAUCGACGCUCUUCGGACUCGGAUUUGUCCGCAGCAGUUGAUCUGCAUCGCUUUCUGGACACUGAAUCUGGAUUGUGGAUUAUGUCUGUGCUGGAUUAGAGACAGACCGCAGAAGGAGUUGUGGAUAUCCUCUCCAGUGGGAUGAUGAUGGCCCGUGCUCAACCUCUCCGCUGAUACUGGAAGGAGAUGAUUAUCUUACAUGACCUGUAACCUCUGUGUCACUUUGUAUGAUGCACAGUGGAGGAGUGGCUGAGCCCAGCUGGUGAACCCGUGGACCAGAAGCAAGUUCUGCUCUGUGCUCACCUGUUUGUCUGAAGAUGACCUGUUAAUUUUGUGGAGCUUUGUGUCUUUAAUGAUUCCAGUUCAACAAUGCUGAACUGAUGGAGAGACAUCAUCUGAACCCAACAAACCCAGUACUUUCUUUGGCAAACAAGGGACCUUUAAAAGGUUUUGGAAUUGAACUCUCAAGGAAACUUUACCAACUGUGUAAAUGUCAUCACAAAGGGUCCAGUCCAUUUGGUUGGGUGUUCAUCCAUGCUGCAGCAGUAUUUUACUUUCAUUCUUAAUGAGCUGCAGAUACUAAGAAACGAUAAUGUGUCGGGUCUUUGACACAGAGGAACAAUUAAACAUCAUUCUAAUGUGCAUGUAAACCUGAUUCCAGGCAGAACUUUUCCAACCAUCAUGGCUCUCAAUGCUGGCCGUGUAAUCUGACUAAUCCUGGCAAUGGUAGACAACUUGAUAGACCACUUUUACUGGAGUGAAGAAUUUGAAGGUCCAUUCUGAGCUGCAAAUCAUAAGUCAAAGAAGAAAAACCUCUCUCCCCCCCACUUCUAUAUGGUGGGGGGGAGAAUGAAGGUUAGAUUAGGGC